UACGAAGGGGACUAGCGUUGUUCGGAUUUACUGGGCGUAAAGCGCGCGUAGGCGGAUCACUAAGUCAGGGGUGAAAUCCCGAGGCUUAACCUCGGAACUGCCUUUGAUACUGGAGAUCUGGAGAUCGGGAGAGGUUGGUGGAAUUCCGAGUGUAGAGGUGAAAUUCGUAGAUAUCGGGAGGAACACCAGUGGCGAAGGCGACCACCUGGACGAACACUGACGCUGAGGGCGCGAAAGCGUGGGGGAGCAAACAGG
rnacentral:rRNA from 1 species